UACGGGGGGGGCAAGCGUUGUUCGGAAUCACUGGGCGUAAAGGGUGCGUAGGCGGUCCGCUAAGUUGGAUGUGAAAACUCUGGGCUUAACCCUGAGCCUGCAUUGAAAACUGACGGGCUAGAGUUCUGGAGGGGGUAGCGGAAUUCCUGGUGUAGCGGUGAAAUGCGUAGAUAUCAGGAGGAACACCGGUUGCUACGGCGGCUACCUGGACAGAAACUGACGCUGAGGCACGAAAGCUAGGGGAGCAAACAGG
rnacentral:rRNA from 1 species